rnacentral:rRNA from 1 species
ACGAACGCUGGCGGCGUGCCUAAUACAUGCAAGUAGAACGCUGAAGGAGGAGCUUGCUUCUCUGGAUGAGUUGCGAACGGGUGAGUAACGCGUAGGUAACCUGCCUGGUAGCGGGGGAUAACUAUUGGAAACGAUAGCUAAUACCGCAUAAGAGUAGAUGUCGCAUGACAUUUGCUUAAAAGGUGCAAUUGCAUCACUACCAGAUGGUCCUGCGUUGUAUUAGCUAGUUGGUGAGGUAACGGCUCACCAAGGCAACGAUACAUAGCCGACCUGAGAAGGUGGUCGGCCACACUGGGACGGAGACACGGCCCAGACUCCUACGGGAGGCAGCAGUAGGGAAUCUUCGGCAAUGGACGGAAGUCUGACCGAGCAACGCCGCGGGAGUGAAGAAGGUUUUCGGAUCGUAAAGCUCUGUUGUAAGAGAAGAACGAGUGUGAGAGUGGAAAGUUCACACUGUGACGGUAUCUUACCAGAAAGGGACGGCUAACUACGUG